rnacentral:rRNA from 1 species
CCUACGGGGGGCAGCAGUGGGGGAUAUUGCACAAUGGGGGGAACCCUGAUGCAGCGACGCCGCGUGGGUGAAGGAGCGCUUCGGCGCGUAAAGCCCUAUCGGCAGGGAAGAAGGAGGACGGUACCUGACUAAGAAGCCCCGGCUAACGACGUGCCAGCAGCCGCGGUAAUACGUAGGGGGCAAGCGUUAACCGGAUUUACUGGGUGUAAAGGGGGCGCAGACGGCAGGGCAAGCCAGGAGUGAAAGCCCGGGGCCCAACCCGGGGACUGAGCGUGGAACUGCGCGGCUGGAGUGCAGGAGGAGCAGGCGGAAUGCCUGGUGUAGCGGUGAAAUGCGUAGAUAUCAGGAAGAACACCGGUGGCGAAGGCAGCCUGCUGGACUGCGACUGACGUUGAGGCCCGAAAGCGUGGGGAGCGAACAGGAUUAGAUACCCCAGUAGUC